CUGGAAUCAGCAACACUGGAACUCCAGGGCUCCUGGAAAUGGAAUCCUGAGUGUGAGAAAUUUUGAAGAAGAGGUUAAAGCCAGAUUUUGUGCAGUGAAUGACUUGGUAUGACUUCUUCACCAUUCCCCAGAAGCCUUCUCCCUCCGGAAGAUGCCUCUGCCCCUGUAACCUUUUCUUCUCAUUGGUGAAUUGCUCCAAGAACUUCCAUUUUAAGGAAGUACCCAGGCCAGCUGAUGAUUCGUCAUUCUGGCUAUGAGGGCCAAUAGAAAAGAUCUCCUCUUAACCACAUGGUUAGCCAAAGAGAACCAGUAACAGAAUAGCCAUGCAUAUUUCCUAGUGUCUCCAAGGUAUUUCCCUUGUACAUUAUCACAAUGCUCUGGAAGCAGUUAGUUCUCCUAGUUCCCUAGGAGAGACAUCAUCUGAGCAAACUUGAGAUUUGCCCAUGUAUCUGCUCAUUA